CAAUGGCGGCUCACGCAAGCGACGUCUACAGAGAGAGGCUUCGAUGCCUCGGAGGGUUGGAUCACGUCGUGAGCCAUGUGUGUGUCUGUGUGAGACAGCUGUCUGAGAGUCGUGAUGAGGAGUCUCUGUCAGAGGCUCUCCGUGGAGCGGAAAGAAGCCUCAGGGUCCUCGAGAGCGUGACUGUUCACAACGCUGAGAAUCAGCUCUACCUGGUGGCCUUUGAGAAUUCAACUCUCCUAGUACACAUUGUGAGGUGGG